ensembl:snoRNA
GUCCAGAAGACAGUGAUGUGGUAUUUUCCAAGCACAUAUCUGAUUGCUUUGUGUGGAAAUUCAACCAUUUCUGAGUGUUUUUGGAC